GGGGUUGGCAAGACAACACUAGCAAGGAUUUAAGAAGGAGACCAGGCUCCAGAGCAACAUUAAUCAACAAGCAAUAUAUAUAUCUACCUUACUGGACCAUAUUUUUCUGAUAAGGAAUUUAAAGGUCUGUUAAAGAGUGGAUCAUACAAGUGUUAUUGGAACCAACUUUUUCUGACUUGUCAAUUUCGGGGUUGGCAAGACAACACUAGCAAGGAUUUUAGAAGGAGACGAGGCUUCAGAGCAACCUGAAUCAACAAGCAGUAUAUAUAUAUCUACCUUACUGGGACCAUAUUUUUCUGAUAAGGAAUUUAAAGGUCUGUUAAAGAGUGGAUCUUACAAGUGUUAUUGGAACCGAGUUUUCUGACUUGUCAAUUCGGGGUUGGCAAGACAAGACUAGCAAGGAUUUUAGAAGGAGACGAGGCUUCAGAGCAACCUGAAUCAACAAGCAGUAUAUAUAUAUCUACCUUACUGGGACCAUAUUUUUCUGAUAAGAAAUUUAAAGGUCUGUUAAAGAGUGGAUCAUACAAGUAUUACUGGAAUCGAGUUAUUCUGAAUUCAAUUCGGGGUUGGCAAGACAACACUAGCAAGGAUUUAAGAAGGAGACCAGGCUCUAGAGCAACAUUAAUCAACAAGCAAUAUAUAUAUCUACCUUACUGGGACCAUAUUUUUCUGAUAAGGAAUUUAAAGGUCUGUUAAAGAGUGGAUCAUACAAGUGCUACUGGAACAGAGUUUUUCUGACUUGUCAAUUCGGGGUUGGCAAGACAAUACUAGCAAGGAUUUAAGAAGGAGACGAGGCUUCAGAGCAACGUGAAUCAACAAGCAGUAUAUAUAUAUCUACCUUACUGGCACCAUAUUUUUCUGAUAAGAAAUUUAAAGGUCUGUUAAAGAGUGGAUCAUACAAGUGCUACUGGAACAGAGUUUUUCUGACUUGUCAAUUCGGGGUUGGCAAGACAAUACUAGCAAGAAUUUAAGAAGGAGACAAGGCUCCAG